ensembl:lncRNA
AGAUUAUUUAAUCAAAAGCACAGGCUUCUGUUUAUUGACCAUUGCACGCACAUGAACAGAUGAGAAUAUUUACACAGAUGUAAACAGUCAGUACCUGCAACACAUUAGAGUAGAGCUGCACAUAGUGUGACUAACACAGCUACGUACCAGAACAAACAGCACAUUUACCACCAUUAAAGCCCAGUCAACUUGCUUCUGCUACUUUGCACAAGUUGGGGUGCACAUGUCUGUUUAGUCUUAAACUCAAGCUCUCUUUGUUCUUGUUUGAAGUAUUUUUGGAGGAGCACAUAGAUUAUACGAGUGUUAAAAAAGAAGAAAGUUUUAUUCAAAGUAAUCACACACCCUGAAUAAAUAGGAUUUUUUUUUUUUUUUUUACUAUAACAAUAUCUUUACAAUGUAGAGAAACUUCUAGUUUAUUUGUACCUUUCAGUGACCCCUCAAUCUCAUAGCUUCACAUACUCAUAAGUUAAUUUGCUGUCUGAAAGGAACAAGAUUCAUUCUCCAAUACUACAAAUGCAAACAUUGAAGAAAUUCUGAAGCAGACAUUAAAUACUUUUUCCUCUUGACACCUCAAAAAAAAAAGAAUUUUGCAGUUUGUCUGAAUUUCAUUCGCUCAUCUCAUAAUGCUCUGACAAUGAACAGUAGGUAUUUUUUGGGUACUUUUUUUAAAAGCAAAUAAAAAAGGCAAAAAACUAAAAUGAAAGUGCAAAUCUGCUAGUAAUGCUCAUCUAUUCAAACACACACAGUGUUUCUGUGCAUUACAAUACUGUGGCCUCCUCUCACAUGAUCCUGCACAGCAGGACAUAUCUGUGUUGAAGGCCUCCGAUGCCACUGUGAUGACCAGCCGUCAUCCCCUCGUUCCACAGUGUGUGCAAUUUUCCAGCACACAGACAUUGCUGUCAGGAAAACAUCCACACAACAGCAGUUUCUAUACAGUCCACAAACAGACAGAAAGAAAUAGAGAAACUACAAACACAUGGACUGGAUUCUACAAAAGAUCUGUUUGCUCCUCUACUGAUGUUCCUUCAUUAUCAUGGCUCUCACUUCAUCUUAAAAUUAAGAAUAACUAAUUCACAAACUUCUAGUGUACACUUAAAAUAUGUACACUUUACUGAUGAUGGGAAAGUACACUGACUGUAGACAGUAUCUGGAUGUCAUGAAGUUGUUAUGAAACAACUUGCAGAAUUUGGAA